GACGGAGGGUGCAAGCGUUGCUCGGAAUCACUGGGCGUAAAGAGCGCGUAGGCGGUCCGAUAAGUCGGCUGUGAAAGUCAGGGGCUCAACCCUUGGAAGCCGGCCGAUACUGUCGGACUAGAGUCCGGAAGAGGCGAGUGGAAUUCCCGGUGUAGCGGUGAAAUGCGCAGAUAUCGGGAGGAACACCAAUGGCGAAGGCAGCUCGCUGGGACGGUACUGACGCUGAGACGCGAAAGCGUGGGGAGCAAACAGG
rnacentral:rRNA from 1 species